rnacentral:snoRNA from 1 species
AAACCAUGAUGAGGACAUUCUAGGAGGAGGUCUUUGAAUCUUUCCAUAGACCUAGAGAAUGAUUCAUUGGGUUUCUGACUAAACUGGAUCAUGUCAUUCCCGAGCUU